rnacentral:pre_miRNA from 1 species
AGGCGACUGGUGAAAUAUUUUGACCAAUUUUAUGCGUAGUAAUGUUCGCGUUUGAUUUAGAACGUGAGUGUGAAUUGGUUAAGAUAUUGCAUCGUUCGCUUG